UCAGUGUUUUGUCAUCCCUGGAAAUCAUGACUGGUUUGAUGGACUUCAGACUUUCAUGAGGUACAUUUGUCACAAGAGCUGGUUGGGUGGGUGGUUUAUGCCUCAAAAGAAGAGCUAUUUUGCCUUGCAGCUUCCUAAAGGGUGGUGGAUAUUUGGUCUUGAUCUUGCUCUACAUUCUGAUAUUGAUAUAUACCAGUUCAAGUUCUUCUCAGAAUUAAUAAGGGACAAGGUGGGCGAGAAUGAUUCUGUGAUCAUUAUGACACAUGAACCUAAUUGGCUUCUCGAUUGGUACUUCGAUCAAGUUACUGGAAAGAAUGUCACGUACUUGAUACGUGACCACUUAAACGGGAGAUGUAGACUUCGAAUUGCUGGGGAUGUG
rnacentral:misc_RNA from 1 species